CAGCAGCCGCGGGAAAACGUAGGUGGCAAGCGUUGUCCGGAAUUAUUGGGCGUAAAGGGCUCGCAGGCGGUUUCUUAAGUCUGAUGUGAAAGCCCCCGGCUCAACCGGGGAGGGUCAUUGGAAACUGGGAAACUUGAGUGCAGAAGAGGAGAGUGGAAUUCCACGUGUAGCGGUGAAAUGCGUAGAGAUGUGGAGGAACACCAGUGGCGAAGGCGACUCUCUGGUCUGUAACUGACGCUGAGGAGCGAGAGCGUGGGGAGCGAACAGGAUUAGAUACCCCAGUAGUCCCUGUCUCUUAUAA
rnacentral:rRNA from 1 species